AAUUAAUGUGUUCAUUNAAUUUAAAUAAUUUGGCGGUAUUUUANAUNGUUAGAGGAAUUUGUGNAUUAUAUGUAUNUCCACGAAUGGAAUGUCCUAUUAUAUAUUUUAUGUAUUGUUGUAUAAAAAUUAUUUUAUAAAAAUUAUAAUUAAUUUAUUUAAUAUAAUUUCAAUUCAAAUCAAAAUGUAGAAUUUUUAGGUUUCAAUGAAUCACAAUUUAAUUUAAUAUUAGAGUUAUGCUUUUAAUUANNAUANUAAAAUAGGAUUUAAAAGUAAANUUNAAAAAAUANUUAGANUGAAAUAUAAUAAA
rnacentral:rRNA from 1 species